AAAUUGAAGAGUUUGAUCAUGGCUCAGAUUGAACGCUGGCGGCAGGCCUAACACAUGCAAGUCGAGCGGAAACGGCAGCAUUGAAGCUUCGGUGGAUUUGCUGGACGUCGAGCGGCGGACGGGUGAGUAACGGCUGGGAACCUGCCCUGACGCGGGGGAUAACCGUUGGAAACGACGGCUAAUACCGCAUAAUGUCUURGUUCRUUACGAGYYRGGACCAAAGGUGGCCUCUACAUGUAAGCUAUCGCGUUGGGAUGGGCCCAGUUAGGAUUAGCUAGUUGGUAAGGUAAUGGCUUACCAAGGCAACGAUCCUUAGCUGGUUUGAGAGGAUGAUCAGCCACACUGGGACUGAGACACGGCCCAGACUCCUACGGGAGGCAGCAGUGGGGAAUAUUGCACAAUGGGGGAGACCCUGAUGCAGCCAUGCCGCGUGUGUGAAGAAGGCCUUCGGGUUGUAAAGCACUUUCAGCAGUGAGGAAGGUGGUGUACUUAAUACGUGCAUGGCUUGACGUUAGCUGCAGAAGAAGCACCGGCUAACUCCGUGCCAGCAGCCGCGGUAAUACGGAGGGCGCGAGCGUUAAUCAGAAUUACUGGGCGUAAAGCGCAUGCAGGCGGUUUGUUAAGUCAGAUGUGA
rnacentral:rRNA from 1 species